CCUACGGGGGGCAGCAGUGAGGAAUAUUGGUCAAUGGCCGGAAGGCUGAACCAGCCAUGCCGCGUGAAGGUCAGUGCCCUAUGGGCGUUAAACUUCUUUUGUGCGGGAGCAAUAAUGGUCACGUGUGGCCAGACGAGAGUACCGUACGAAUAAGCAUCGGCUAACUCCGUGCCAGCAGACGCGGUAAUACGGGGGAUGCAAGCGUUAUCCGGGUUUAUUGGGUUUAAAGGGUGCGUAGGGUGGGAGGUAAGUCAGCGGUGAAAUGCCCCCGCUCAACGGGGUGAAGUGCCAUUGAUACUGCCUUGCUGGAAUGCGGAUGCCGUAGGAGGAAUGUGUGGUGUAGCGGUGAAAUGCAUAGAUAUCACACAGAACACCGAUUGCGAAGGCAGCUCACGAAUCCGCGAUUGACGCUGAUGCACGAAAGCGUGGGUAUCAAACAGGAUUAGAUACCCGUGUAGUC
rnacentral:rRNA from 1 species